AGAGUUUGAUCAUGGCUCAGAUUGAACGCUGGCGGCAUGCUUUACACAUGCAAGUCGAACGCGAAAGCGGGGGCAACCCGCAAGUAGAGUGGCGAACGGGUGAGUAAUACAUCGGAACGCGCCCUUUAGUGGGGGACAACGCCGAGAAAUCGGCGCUAAUACCGCAUACGCCCGAAAGGGGAAAGCGGGGGACCGCAAGGCCUCGCGCUGUUGGAGCGGCCGAUGUCCGAUUAGCUAGUUGGUGGGGUAAAGGCUCACCAAGGCGACGAUCGGUAGCUGGUCUGAGAGGAUGAUCAGCCACACUGGGACUGAGACACGGCCCAGACUCCUACGGGAGGCAGCAGUGGGGAAUUUUGGACAAUGGGGGCAACCCUGAUCCAGCCAUGCCGCGUGAGUGAAGAAGGCCUUCGGGUUGUAAAGCUCUUUCGGCCGGAACGAAAUCGCGCGGGCGAACAAUCCGCGUGGAUGACGGUACCGGAAUAAGAAGCACCGGCUAACUACGUGCCAGCAGCCGCGGUAAUACGUAGGGUGCAAGCGUUAAUCGGAAUUACUGGGCGUAAAGCGUGCGCAGGCGGUCGCGUAAGCCAGAUGUGAAAGCCCCGGGCUUAACCUGGGAAUUGCAUUUGGUACUGCGUGGCUAGAGUGCGGCAGAGGGAGGUGGAAUUCCUGGUAGCAGUGAAAUGCGUAGAUAUCAGGAGGAACACCGAUGGCGAAGGCAGCCUCCUGGGCCAGCACUGACGCUCAUGCACGAAAGCGUGGGGAGCAAACAGGAUUAGAUACCCUAGUAGUCC
rnacentral:rRNA from 1 species